rnacentral:rRNA from 1 species
AUGCAGAAUGCAUUGUUGAAGAUGUGGGCAAUGGUUGAAGAUAGCAAGACUGCUAGGGUGAAUGAUAAUCUUGAAAGUGCUUUAACUAUUCACCAUCUGAUAGAGGAGAAGAACAAGCUGGAGGCCAACUAUGACAAGUUAGUACAAUAUAUGCAUGAGCUUAUGACCUUCCAGGAGGAGAGGGUGGUGGAUUUCAUAUAUCUGCAUAUCAGCAGCAAUGCAGAAGUGAACUGGUGGCUGAUAUGA